UACGAAGGGUGCAAACGUUGCUCGGAAUUAUUGGGCGUAAAGCGCACGUAGGCGGCUUUGCAAGUCUCAUGUGAAAGCCCACGGCUUAACCGUGGAAGUGCAUGGGAAACUGCAGAGCUUGAGUACUUAAGAGGAUCGCGGAAUUCCCGGUGUAGAGGUGAAAUUCGUAGAUAUCGGGAGGAACACCAGUGGCGAAGGCGGCGAUCUGGGAAGAUACUGACGCUGAGGUGCGAAAGCGUGGGGAGCAAACAGG
rnacentral:rRNA from 1 species